rnacentral:rRNA from 1 species
UUCCAGACUCCUACGGGAGGCAGCAGUGGGGAAUAUUGCACAAUGGGGGAAACCCUGAUGCAGCGACGCCGCGUGAGUGAAGAAGUAAUUCGUUAUGUAAAGCUCUAUCAGCAGGGAAGAAAAUGACGGUACCUGAGUAAGAAGCCCCGGCUAACUACGUGCCAGCAGCCGCGGUAAUACGUAGGGGGCAAGCGUUAUCCGGAUUUACUGGGUGUAAAGGGAGCGUAGACGGUGAUGCAAGUCAGAAGUGAAAGCCCGGGGCUCAACUCCGGGACUGCUUUUGAAACUGUGUAACUGGAGUGCAGGAGAGGUAAGCGGAAUUCCUAGUGUAGCGGUGAAAUGCGUAGAUAUUAGGAGGAACACCAGUGGCGAAGGCGGCUUACUGGACUGUAACUGACGUUGAGGCUCGAAAGCGUGGGGAGCAAACAGCAUUAGAUCCCCCCGUA